rnacentral:rRNA from 1 species
UUGAUCCUGGCUCAGAAUCAACGCUGGCGGCGUGCCUAACACAUGCAAGUCGAACGCGAAAGUCCCGCAAGGGGCAAGUAGAGUGGCAAACGGGUGAGUUACACGUGGGUGACCUGCCGUCGAGUGGGGGAUAACGUUCCGAAAGGAACUCUAAUACCGCAUAACAUGCUGCCUUUGAAGAGGUGGACAGCAAAGCUGGUGACCGCAAGGCCUGGCGCUUGAUGAGGGGCCCGCGCCUGAUUAGCUAGUUGGUGGGGUAAUGGCUCACCAAGGCAUCGAUCAGUAUCCGGCCUGAGAGGUCGGACGGACACACUGGGACUGAGACACGGCCCAGACUCCUACGGGAGGCUGCAGUGGGGAAUUGUUCGCAAUGGGCGCAAGCCUGACGACGCAACGCCGUGUGGAGGAUGAAGACCUUCGGGUCGUAAACUCCUUUCGAUCGAGACGAAUGGCCUUUGGGUGAAUAGCCUGGAGGAGUGACGGUACCGAGAGAAGAAGCUCCGGCUAACUCCGUGCCAGCAGCCGCGGUAAUAAGGU